GAUGAAGGACGGAACGAACGCCGAUACGCUUCGGGGAGCUGUAAGUAAGCUUUGAUCCGAAGAUUUCCGAAUGGGGGAACCCGCCAUCCUGAACGGAUGGCAUGCUCUGCUGAAUCCAUAGGUAGAGUAAGGCAGACCCGGGGAACUGAAACAUCUCAGUACCCGGAGGAAGAGAAAGCAAAUGCGAUUUCCUGAGUAGUGGCGAGCGAAAGGGAAACAGCCCAAACCAAAGGGCUUGCCCUUUGGGGUUGUAGGACACUCCGCAUGGAGUUACAAAAGUACGUUUCAGGCGAACGACCUGGAAGGGUCGGCCAGAGAAGGCAAACGCCCUGUAGCCGACGGAACGUACACUCCGGAGUGGAUCCUGAGUACGGCGGGACACGAGAAACCCCGUCGGAAUCCGGGAGGACCGUCUCCCAAGGCUAAAUACUCCCCAGUGACCGAUAGUGAACCAGUACCGUGAGGGAAAGGUGAAAAGCACCCCGGAAGGGGAGUGAAAGAGAUCCUGAAACCGUGUGCUUACAAGUAGUUGGAGCCCCCUUCGGGGGUGACAGCGUACCUUUUGUAGAAUGGACCGGCGAGUGACGAUUCUAAGCAAGGUUAAGCUGAAGAGGCGGAGCCGCAGCGAAAGCGAGUCUGAAUAGGGCGAAUGAGUUUAGGGUUGUCGACCCGAAACCGUGUGAUCUACCCAUGUCCAGGGUGAAGUUCAGGUAACACUGAAUGGAGGCCCGAACCCACGCAUGUUGAAAAAUGCGGGGAUGAGGUGUGGGUAGGGGUGAAAUGCCAAUCGAACACGGAGAUAGCUGGUUCUCCCCGAAAUAGCUUUAGGGCUAGCCUCGGAUGAGUGAGACUUGGAGGUAGAGCACUGAUUGAAUAAGGGGUCCCCACAGGAUUACCGAGUUCAGUCAAACUCCGAAUGCCAAGCACUUACGUCCGGGAGUCAGACGGCGAGUGAUAAGAUCCGUCGUCGAAAGGGAAACAGCCCAGACCGCCGACUAAGGUCCCUAAGUUUGUGCUAAGUGGGAAAGGAUGUGACGUUGCCCAGACAACCAGGAUGUUGGCUCAGAAGCAGCCACCAUUUAAAGAGUGCGUAAUAGCUCACUGGUCGAGUGGCGUCGCGCCGAAAAUGUAACGGGGCUAAGCACAGCACCGAAGUCGCGGAUGACCGUCAGGUCAUGGUAGGGGAGCGUUCCAAGGGCAUUGAAGAUGUGCCGUGAGGCAUGUUGGAGCGUUUGGAAGUGAGAAUGCCGGUAUGAGUAACGAAAAGAGAAGUGAGAAUCUUCUCCGUCGAAAGCCUAAGGGUUCCUGAGGAAGGUUCGUCCGCUCAGGGUUAGUCGGGGCCUAAGCCGAGGCCGAAAGGCGUAGGCGAUGGACAACAGGUUGAUAUUCCUGUACCAGCGUUUCACGUUUGAGUGAUGGGGGG
rnacentral:ncRNA from 1 species